GACGAACGCUGGCGGCGUGCUUAACACAUGCAAGUCGAACGGAAAGGCCCUGCUUUUGUGGGGUGCUCGAGUGGCAAACGGGUAAGUAACACGUGAUUAACCUGCCCUUGACUUUGGGAUAACUUCAGGAAACUGGGGCUAAUACCGGAUAGGAGCUCCUGCUGCAUGGUGGGGUUGGGAAAGUUUCGGCGGUUGGGGAUGGACUCGCGGCUUAUCAGCUUGUUGGUGGGGUAGUGGCUUACCAAGGCUUUGACGGGUAGCCGGCCUGAGAGGGUGACCGGCCACAUUGGGACUGAGAUACGGCCCAGACUCCUACGGGAGGCAGCAGUGGGGAAUAUUGCACAAUGGGCGGAAGCCUGAUGCAGCAACGCCGCGUGCGGGAUGACGGCCUUCGGGUUGUAAACCGCUUUCGCCUGUGACGAAGCGUGAGUGACGGUAAUGGGUAAAGAAGCACCGGCUAACUACGUG
rnacentral:rRNA from 1 species